rnacentral:rRNA from 1 species
UCAGUAACGUAGCUAACGCGUGAAGUUGACCGCCUGGGGAGUACGGUCGCAAGAUUAAAACUCAAAGGAAUUGACGGGGACCCGCACAAGCGGNGGAUGAUGUGGAUUAAUUCGAUGCAACGCGAAAAACCUUACCUACCCUUGACAUGCCACUAACGAAGCAGAGAUGCAUUAGGUGCCCGAAAGGNAAAGUGGACACAGGUGCUGCAUGGCUGUCGUCAGCUCGUGUCGUGAGAUGUUGGGUUAAGUCCCGCAACGAGCGCAACCCUUGUCUCUAGUUGCUACGCAAGAGCACUCUAGAGAGACUGCCGGUGACAAACCGGAGGAAGGUGGGGAUGACGUCAAGUCCUCAUGGCCCUUAUGGGUAGGGCUUCACACGUCAUACAAUGGUGCGUACAGAGGGUUGCCAACCCGCGAGGGGGGAGCUAAUCCCAGAAAACGCAUCGUAGUCCGGAUCGUAGUCUGCAACUCGACUACGUGAAGCUGGAAUCGCUAGUAAUCGCGGAUCAGCAUGCC